GACGAACGCUGGCGGCGUGCUUAACUCAUGCAAGUCGAACGGUGAAGCGCCUUCCUUUUUGGUGGGUGUGGAUGAGUGGCGAACGGGUGAGUAACACGUGAGUAACCUGCCCCCUUCUUCUGGAUAACCGCAUGAAAGUGUGGCUAAUACGGGAUAUUCUGGGUCUGUCGCAUGAUGGGUCUGGGAAAGAUAUUGUUUCGGUGGGGGAUGGUCUCGCGGCCUAUCAGCUUGUUGGUGGGGUGAUGGCCUACCAAGGCGGUGACGGGUAGCCGGCCUGAGAGGGUGGACGGUCACACUGGGACUGAGACACGGCCCAGACUCCUACGGGAGGCAGCAGUGGGGAAUAUUGCACAAUGGGCGCAAGCCUGAUGCAGCGACGCCGCGUGAGGGAUGGAGGCCUUCGGGUUGUGAACCUCUUUCGCCAGUGAAGCAGGCCUGCCUCGUUUGUGGGUGGGUUGACGGUAGCUGGAUAAGAAGCGCCGGCUAACUACGUG
rnacentral:rRNA from 1 species